UUUUAGAGUUAGUGUUAAUGGAGCAUUUCAGGUCAAGUCUCAAAGGGGUCUUUAGGUUUUCUAGAAACGUAUGUGAGAGCUUCAUUGCAUUUCCAUUUAGACUGCAGUUCCAGUGGUUAAAGUGGAUCCUCCAGUGCAAGAGGUCAAAGACAUUCCUGAUGCUGAGCCACUGCCUCAUAUUCCUGUGGUGGAGGUUGUGUCUGAUGAGGAGCCAGACGCUGCUAACGUGCCCUUCUCUCCCAGGGUAAUAGAAUGGAUUAAGCAUGGUUUUGAGAAAGUAGUUCCCCUGUCUCCUGUCCAUCUUCGUCCUCCCGCUGGCACAGAUGCACCUGCCCAGAAGGCUGCUUCUGCACCUGUGACUCCCUGCAAACAAGAGCCAGCACCUGCAGCUCCUGAGCAAACUAAAGUAGCUGAGGAUUCCAAAGGCACGAAUAUGAUUGGCUGGAUAGUACAGGGGCUCGGACGCAUCAUACCACAACCAGUACAGAAACCAAAAGAGGACAGCUCUGAUAUCGUUCAAAACGGGGAGUAGGUCGUUAAAGCCCCCUAAACAUAAGGAGAAGACGACUGGGAGAGUCAUUACCUCCACGCAGAGACAGCGAGAGACGUUCAGACAUAUACACAUACUAAUAUCCUCUAGUUCCAUACAGCUACAUCGGAUUUGAACAUUUGCAGCAGUGCUUUUUCAUGUAAUCUUCCUUGGUGAUUUCUGUUAACUGUAUUACAGAUUAGCAUGCUGGCUUGUUAAUUGUGAUGAUUGUUUAGUGCUUUGAUGAUUAGGCUACCUCACAGACAUGCAGUAAACACACAGUGGCCCAGUCAGAGUUUACAAUGUCAUUUACUGCUUGUAUAUUGUCGACAUUUGCGCCAUCAGCAUCACUAAACAUUAAAUAUUUCCACCUUUGAUUGGUCAGAAUGUCCAGCCCCAAACUUGUGUACAGGGUUUCAUAAGCCCCACAGAGCCACAGUUUUCACAUGUUUAGAGGAAAUCAACUUUAAUCUAUGAAUAUUAAACCAGGAUAGGAGAAAGUUUAACAUAAAAAAUCUUCCACCUUUAACACUGCUUUUUCCUCUGUAUUUUCUUCCUCUUGUUUUCCAGUACAAAUAUCUAAACAUUCUUUAAUCAAGACACAAGCAAAAUGACAUAUUCUUGCUUUCUAAAAUAAAAUAAUUCCUGAUUAAAAUGAGAAAAAAAAAA